rnacentral:rRNA from 1 species
GACGAACGCUGGCGGCGUGCUUAACACAUGCAAGUCGAACGGAAAGGCCCUGCUUUUGUGGGGUGCUCGAGUGGCGAACGCGUGCGUAACACGUGUGUAACCUGCCCUUGACUUUGGUAUAACUUCACGUAACUGGGGCUACUACCGGAUAGGAGCUCCUGCUUCAUGGUGGGGGUUGGAUAGUUUCGGCUGGUGGGGAUGGACUCGCGGCUUAUCAGCUUGUUGGUGGGGUAGUGGCUUACCAAGGCUUUGACGGGUAGCCGGCCUGAGAGGGUGACCGGCGACAAUGGGACUGAGAGACGGCCCAGACGCGUACGGGAGGCAGCAGUGGGGAAUAUGGCACAAUGGGCGGAAGCGUGAUGCAGCAAAGCCGCGUGCGGGAUGACGGCCUUCGGGGUGUAAACCGCAUUCGCCUGAGACGAAGCGUGAGUGACGGUAAUGGGUAAAGAAGCACCGGCUAACUACGUG